rnacentral:rRNA from 1 species
GACGAGGGAUCCUAGCGUUGUUCGGAAUUAUUGGGCGUAAAGCGGGUGUAGGUGGCUUCUUAAGUCGGGUGUGAAAGCCCAGGGCUCAACCCUGGAAGUGCACUCGAUACUGGGAAGCUUGAAUGUGGGAGAGGAUAGUGGAAUUCCAGGUGUAGUGGUGAAAUACGUAGAUAUCUGGAGGAACACCGGAGGCGAAGGCGGCUAUCUGGCCCAACAUUGACACUGAGACCCGAAAGCGUGGGGAUCAAACAGG